rfam:Myotis brandtii contig305599, whole genome shotgun sequence.
GGCGAUUCUUGGGUGAUGCACCCCAGGAUCUGGCUCCCUCCUCUCUGGUUCUGGGUGCAUCACCCGAGAACUGCA